AUUGCGCAAAAUGAAUUGGCAGUAUGCUUUCCACCCCAGUGAUUUAGAGAGGUGUGACAUGCAAUAAUUUUCUCGUCUGUGAUCUGAAUAUAUUCCUUUAAAGAAACCUAUCAUACAAUUUAAUUAACAUCGCUGAAGGAACUAAUUUAAUAUUCGUGCUUAGUAUCCGCUGUUAGCCUAUUUUAAAGUAAUGCUAUUAUCUGUCUAUAAUUGCAUUAGAUUCCCAGCUCUAAUUCUUCACUUGAAAUGUUAAAUACAUAGCCUAUUAUCAGUGCUUGUGCUCCUGAAAAGGAUAUUUAUCUAGCAAUCACACACGCAAACAAAAGAGGCACGCUUUCUGGUAGGCAAUUCCGGGGAUGAACAGGUGCUGUUCAGAUGACACAAAAGAACACAAAUGAUCUUACUGCAGACAAAUUGUAACUACGAAGAAAUUGUUCAAAAACUGCGAAAAAGAACCAAGCCUUAUAUCCACAGCAACAUUUUAGAUUGUGAAGUUAAAACAUAAUUUGCGAAAAUGUCCUGUGGAAAACAAGAUGUGAUUAUCAUUGGUGCAGGCUUGUCCGGUCUGUCAGCUGCCAAGCUGCUGAUAGAGGAAGGUAUGAAAGUGCUGGUCUUAGAAGCGAGAGAUCGCGUUGGAGGAAGAACAUACACUGUUCGAGGUCCAGAGUUCCAGUACGUUGACUUGGGGGGAGCAUAUGUUGGACCCACUCAAAAUCGGAUUUUGCGAUUAGCCAAGGAGCUGGGUAUAAAGACGUACAAAGUAAACGAAGAAGAGAAACUUAUUCACUUUGUACAGGGAAAACCUUAUGCGUUUAAUGGAGCAUUUCCCCCUGUGUGGAACCCAAUAGCUUACAUGGACUACAACAACUUCUGGAGAACUUUGGAUAAAAUGGGAAAUGAGAUACCUGCAGAUGCACCAUGGAGUUGUCAACGUGCAGUGGAGUGGGAUAACAUGACGAUGAAAGAGUUAAUUGAUAAACUUUGCUGGACCAGUGUGGCGAGAGAAUUUGCAACCCUCUUCGUCAAUGUGAACGUUACCUCAGAGCCUCAUGAAGUCUCUGCUCUUUGGUUCUUGUGGUAUGUGAAACAAUGUGGAGGGACCAGGCGAAUAUUUUCCACCACCAAUGGAGGCCAGGAAAGGAAAUUUAUUGGUGGUGCAGGACAAAUAAGUGACCUUUUAGCUGAAAGCAUGAAGGAUAGAGUGAAAUUAUGCAGGCCAGUGGUGGGAGUGGAACAAGCCACUGGAUCUGUCCAGGUGCAGACCCUGAAUGGAGAGAAGUACAAGGCAGAUUAUGUCAUCAGUGCCAUUCCACCAGUCCUCACCCAGCAAAUCCACUACAAUCCUCCAGUGCCUCCACUGCGAAACCAGUUGAUCCAGCGUGUGCCAAUGGGCUCUACCAUUAAAUGUAUGGUUUACUACAGCCGGCCUUUCUGGAGGGAGAAAGGUUUCUGUGGAACCAUGAUGAUUGAAGAUGAGGAGUCACCUAUUUCCUUGACACUGGACGACACUAAGCCUGACGGUUCACACCCUGCAAUUAUGGGAUUUAUACUGGCGCGAAAAGCUCGACUCUUGCUGAGUCUCACCAAAGCAGAGAGGAAGGAAAAAAUUUGCCAGAUUUAUGCACGAGUCCUGGGGACAGAUGAAGCCCUACGUGCUGUUCAUUACGAAGAAAAGGAUUGGUGUGCAGAACAGUAUUCGGGUGGCUGCUACACUGCAUACUUCCCUCCUGGAACAUUUGUUCAAUUUGGCAGAGUUCUACGAGAACCUUUUGGGAGACUCUACUUUGCUGGCACUGAAACAGCUACCAAGUGGAGUGGUUACAUGGAUGGAGCAGUACAGGCUGGGGAACGUGCUGCCAGAGAGGUGAUGUGUGCAAUGGGAAUCAUUCCAGAGGCUGCAAUCUGCGCUCCCAAGCCUGAAGUGCAAGAAGUUCCAAGUCGACCGUUCACCACAACUCUCUGGAUGCGACACCUGCCCUCGGUGCCAGUAUUCUUGCAGCUGCUUGGCUUUUCCACUUGCCUGACCGCAGUCAUUGUGGUCAUAGCCAGGAAAACGUGUUUGCAUAGAGGGUAACUGGACUGUGUCAACAUGUCAUCAAUAGCAUGACGGCUAACUAUUGAGGGGAAACUUCCAAUGGAGAUGGUGACCUGUCCUGCAAAUCCAUCCAUAGUGUGAAUGCUGAUGAUGUCUGCCACCAUUUUCAACACUACCUCUCCACACCAGGCCUCCUUUGAUGUUGGGUGUUUUAAAAUAUAUAUACAUUUUGGAUCACUAGUGUCUUUCUGAAAGAGGAGCCGUGCACAAUCCGGAUUUGAUGGAGACAGCCGUGAGAAGCGCAGAGGAACAUCUGGAGUAACUUCUGAAAUGCCAGCUUUGCUGCCACUGCUACUGUGUGAUCGAGAAUCUCUGGAGACGAAGGCCCCAAAUCCUCUGCUUUGUGUAUCGCCUGUUGCCAGGGCUGGGGUCGAAGUGCUUGGCAGAGAUGGUGCUCGGUGCUCAGUGCUCGGUGUCGAACAGGUGGUUGGAGGCUCAGUUUUUUGGACGGACUCGGAGUCAGAUUGUGGUCAGAUGCUUCCAGGAUGCUGCACCGACAAGUUGGCGGCACUGGAGGUUGACCGGGUGC